GAUGAACGCUAGCGAUAGGCUUAACACAUGCAAGUCGAGGGGCAGCAUGGUCUUAGCUUGCUAAGACUGAUGGCGACCGGCGCACGGGUGCGUAACGUGUAUGCAACUUGCCUCACAGAGGGGGAUAACCCGUCGAAAGACGGACUAAUACCGCGUACACUUGGGAUAGGGCAUCCUGACCCAAGGAAAUGAAAUUCGCUGUGAGAUAGGCAUGCGUCCCAUUAGCUAGUGGGUGGGGUAACGGCUCACCAAGGCGACGAUGGGUAGGGGAACUGAGAGGUUGGACCCCCAGAGUGGGACUGGGACACGGGCCAGACUCCUACGGGAGGCAGCAGUGAGGAAUAUUGGUCAAUGGGCGAGAGCCUGAACCAGCCAAGUCGCGUGAAGGAAGACUGUCUUAUGGAUUGUAAACUUCUUUUAUACAAGAAUAACAAGAGUCACGUGUGGCUCCCUGCAUGUACCGUAUGAAUAAGCAUCGGCUAACUCCGUG
rnacentral:rRNA from 1 species